rnacentral:rRNA from 1 species
GCUUUUGUACACACCGCCCGUCGCUACUACAGAUUGAAUGAUUUAGUGAGGUCUUCGGACUGGUACGCGGCAUCGACUCUGUCGUUGCCGAUGCUACCGGAAAGAUGACCAAACUUGAUCAUUUAGAGGAAGUAAAAGUCGUAACAAGGUUUCCGUAGGUGAACCUGCGGAAGGAUCAUUA